rnacentral:rRNA from 1 species
UACGUAGGUCGCAAGCGUUGUCCGGAUUUACUGGGCGUAAAGAGCGCGCAGGCGGCUGGUCAAGUCCGAUGUGAAAUCUCCCGGCUCAACUGGGAAACUGCAUCGGAAACUGAUCGGCUUGAAGGUGGGAGAGGGUAGUGGAAUUCCCGGUGUAGUGGUGAAAUGCGUAGAUAUCGGGAGGAACACCAGUGGCGAAGGCGACUACCUGGCCUGUUCUUGACGCUGAGGCGCGAAAGCUAGGGGAGCAAACGGG